rnacentral:rRNA from 3 species
GGGCGACGGUUGUCCCGGUUUAAGCGUGUAGGUGUGUGUUCCAGGUAAAUCCGGUUCACUUUAACACUGAGGCGUGACGACGAGGCACUACGGUGCUGAAGCAACAAAUGCCCUGCUUCCAGGAAAAGCCUCUAAGCAUCAGGUAACAUCAAAUCGUACCCCAAACCGACACAGGUGGUCAGGUAGAGAAUACCAAGGCGCUUGAGAGAACUCGGGUGAAGGAACUAGGCAAAAUGGUGCCGUAACUUCGGGAGAAGGCACGCUGACACGUAGGUGAAGUGAUUUACUCAUGGAGCUGAAGUCAGUCGAAGAUACCAGCUGGCUGCAACUGUUUAUUAAAAACACAGCACUGUGCAAACACGAAAGUGGACGUAUACGGUGUGACGCCUGCCCGGUGCCGGAAGGUUAAUUGAUGGGGUCAGCGCAAGCGAAGCUCCUGAUCGAAGCCCCGGUAAACGGCGGCCGUAACUAUAACGGUCCUAAGGUAGCGAAAUUCCUUGUCGGGUAAGUUCCGACCUGCACGAAUGGCGUAAUGAUGGCCAGGCUGUCUCCACCCGAGACUCAGUGAAAUUGAACUCGCUGUGAAGAUGCAGUGUACCCGCGGCAAGACGGAAAGACCCCGUGAACCUUUACUAUAGCUUGACACUGAACAUUGAGCCUUGAUGUGUAGGAUAGGUGGGAGGCUUUGAAGUGUGGACGCCAGUCUGCAUGGAGCCGACCUUGAAAUACCACCCUUUAAUGUUUGAUGUUCUAACGUGGACCCGUUACCCGGGUUGCGGACAGUGUCUGGUGGGUAGUUUGACUGGGGCGGUCUCCUCCUAAAGAGUAACGGAGGAGCACGAAGGUUGGCUAAUCCUGGUCGGACAUCAGGAGGUUAGUGCAAUGGCAUAAGCCAGCUUGACUGCGAGCGUGACGGCGCGAGCAGGUGCGAAAGCAGGUCAUAGUGAUCCGGUGGUUCUGAAUGGAAGGGCCAUCGCUCAACGGAUAAAAGGUACUCCGGGGAUAACAGGCUGAUACCGCCCAAGAGUUCAUAUCGACGGCGGUGUUUGGCACCUCGAUGUCGGCUCAUCACAUCCUGGGGCUGAAGUAGGUCCCAAGGGUAUGGCUGUUCGCCAUUUAAAGUGGUACGCGAGCUGGGUUUAGAACGUCGUGAGACAGUUCGGUCCCUAUCUGCCGUGGGCGCUGGAGAACUGAGGGGGGCUGCUCCUAGUACGAGAGGACCGGAGUGGACGCAUCACUGGUGUUCGGGUUGUCAUGCCAAUGGCACUGCCCGGUAGCUAAAUGCGGAAGAGAUAAGUGCUGAAAGCAUCUAAGCACGAAACUUGCCCCGA